rnacentral:lncRNA from 1 species
CUCAUGCCCAGAUCCUUUCUCACAGGCUGGGGCAGAGCCCAAGGCCAGGAUAAAAGGGCCUUGGGGACUGAGGCCUUCCAUACACUCCUCUCCUGAGGUGCUGACGGACCUUGUGCUGCCUGUGCACCGCUCCUGUCCCUGCCUGCAGAGAUGUCCUGCCAGCAGAACCAGCAGCAGUGCCAGCCCCCUCCCAAAUGCCCCCCCAAGUGUCCUGCCCCCAAGUGCCCCCCCAAGUGUCCCCCAAAGUGCCCUCCAGUCUCUUCCUGCUGUGGCUCCAGCUCUGGGGGUGGAGGCUGCUGUAGCUCUGGGGGCGGGGGCUGUUGUAGCUCUGGGGGUGGUGGCUGCUGUAGCUCUGGGGGUGGUGGCUGCUGUCUGAGCCACCACAGGCGACGCAGAUCCCACCGCCACAGGCACCAGAGCUCUGACUGCUGCAGCCAGCCCUUGGGGGGCUCCAGCUGCUGUGGAGGGAGCAGUCAGUCAUCUGGAGGCUGCUGCUGAAGUGGAUUCUGAGCCAAGAAGAGCAGAUUUGGGGGCAGCCAAUGCCAAAUCCUUCCUCCUGCUCCUGCUCCUCCUGCUGGACCUACCCAUGUGGCUGAGGGGUCUGACCUCUGGCCCAGAGGAUCGCUGUGUCCUGGUGUCCGGAAGCCAGAACUUCCCCGAACCCAUUCACUCACCUUCUCGCCCAAAUGUGUGGCUGCCCUGGGAACCCAGAGUACAGACCCAACGUCCUUCUUCUGCUUACCUUGUGGCAAACCCAGCCUAAUGGGAAACAAUAAAACUAGAACUCUUCGUUCCUUCUUUUGCCUCUAUUUCUGCUCUUCUUGGCUCAGAAUCCACUUCAGCAGCAGCCUCCAGAUGACUGACUGCUCCCUCCACAGCAGCUGGAGCCCCCCAAGGGCUGGCUGCAGCAGUCAGAGCUCUGGUGCCUGUGGCGGUGGGAUCUGCGUCGCCUGUGGUGGCUCAGACAGCAGCCACCACCCCCAGAGCUACAGCAGCCACCACCCCCAGAGCUACAACAGCCCCCGCCCCCAGAGCUACAGCAGCCUCCACCCCCAGAGCUGGAGCCACAGCAGGAAGAGACUGGAGGGCACUUUGGGGGACACUUGGGGGGGCACUUGGGGCAGGACACUUGGGGGGGCAUUUGGGAGGGGGCUGGCACUGCUGCUGGUUCUGCUGGCAGGACAUCUCUGCAGGCAGGGUCAGGAGCUGAGGGAGAGUCACACAGUCAGACCCAGGACACAGAGCCCAGAGCCCCACCCCUUCCUGUUUUCAGUAUCAUUUCUAGCGCCUUAUUUUGAAAGUCUUGAGAUCAGACAUAAAAUCAUCUCUGACAUUUUUAUCACUCUUACUGGUGUACCACGUGUCUUCUUUCACACAGUCACAUUUCAAACCCCAUUUGUCAACAAUGUCACCUCCAAAUAUAUAAAGAAAGUUGAUGCUCAUUACCACUUCCUUGGUGUCAGAGAAAAAGACAUGAAAUAAAUUGACCCCAGGCCAGCAUUCAUUUUCCCGUGUCACCAAGAAUCUUGCAAACAUCCAGUUUAGGGACCAUUUUAGCACAGAAAGCCUCUUCAAGGAAAAAGCAAAAACAUUCUCUCUUGGAAGGAUUUCUGAUAUGUUUUUGGUUUUGCAGAAUAUAGAAAAUCACAAUUGCAAAGGGCCUUGGAGUUAAUUUGUCCCAACCGACUCAAUUUAUAAAUGAAGAAACUGAAAGGAAAAGAGGCAAAUCCACUAUCCCAGUGCUAUUCACUAGCUUGUCACAGUUCCGUUCUCAGACUCCUCGACUCCCAACCCAGUGCUCUAAUCCAUGUAGUCCCCCUCCCACGGCCUGUUUUCCAGGAACAUCCCGGGGCUUCUCAGCUCCAGUGUGCCCUCAAUUCCCAAGAAUUCUUGUUGGAAUCUAAACAGAUCCACAGGUGUCUCUGAUUCUCUCUUCUCUUAAGUACCAACAUCCUCAACACACUGUUCCUGCACUUGGGCCCAGCUGUAUUUCCAAAACUAUAUUCCCACUAUGUAACCCACUCUAGCAUAAUCUAGCCAUCAAUGUUUUUAUUUUAUUUCCUAACACCAGAGAAACACACCCAGCUACUGCUGUCUCUAAAACUCUAGCGUAUAGCACACAAAUCUUCCCAGUUGCUUUCGGUCUUUCUCACCCAUCCCACCCUGGCCCUCCUGAUUCAGAUUUUCUGGGUCCUCAUCCUUGUCCUUCAAACCAGAGCCCAAGCCUCUGUCCCCUGCUCUGUCUGAGCUCCCUCUGUAGAAGGCUCUGCUCUCUUUCCCAGGGGCACUUACCGGUGCACAGGCAGCACUGGGUCUGUCAGUACCUCAGGAGAGGAGUGCAUGGAGGGGCUCUGUUCCCAAGUCCCUUUUAUCCUGGCCUUGGGCUCUGCCCCAGCCUGUGAGACAGGACCUGGGGAUGACAGGACCGCCUCCUGCCACCCACAUGGUCCUGUGACAGGUGAUGAGUGGCAGCUCCUCCCUG